rnacentral:rRNA from 1 species
CAAUUUAAACAACGAAGAGUUUGAUCCUGGCUCAGGAUGAACGCUAGCGACAGGCUUAACACAUGCAAGUCGAGGGGCAGCGGGGGUAGCGAUACCCGCCGGCGACCGGCGCACGGGUGAGUAACGCGUAUGCAACUUGCCUAUCAGAGGGGGAUAACCCGGCGAAAGUCGGACUAAUACCGCAUGAAGCAGGGGCCCCGCAUGGGGAUAUUUGCUAAAGAUUCAUCGCUGAUAGAUAGGCAUGCGUUCCAUUAGGCAGUUGGCGGGGUAACGGCCCACCAAACCGACGAUGGAUAGGGGUUCUGAGAGGAAGGUCCCCCACAUUGGUACUGAGACACGGACCAAACUCCUACGGGAGGCAGCAGUGAGGAAUAUUGGUCAAUGGGCGUAAGCCUGAACCAGCCAAGUCGCGUGAGGGAUGAAGGUUCUAUGGAUCGUAAACCUCUUUUAUAAGGGAAUAAAGUGCGGGACGUGUCCCGUUUUGUAUGUACCUUAUGAAUAAGGAUCGGCUAACUCCGUGCCAGCAGCCGCGGUAAUACGGAGGAUCCGAGCGUUAUCCGGAUUUAUUGGGUUUAAAGGGUGCGUAGGCGGCCUUUUAAGUCAGCGGUGAAAGUCUGUGGCUCAACCAUAGAAUUGCCGUUGAAACUGGGGGGCUUGAGUAUGUUUGAGGCAGGCGGAAUGCGUGGUGUAGCGGUGAAAUGCAUAGAUAUCACGCAGAACCCCGAUUGCGAAGGCAGCCUGCCAAGCCAUUACUGACGCUGAUGCACGAAAGCGUGGGGAUCAAACAGGAUUAGAUACCCUGGUAGUCCACGCAGUAAACGAUGAUCACUAGCUGUUUGCGAUACACUGUAAGCGGCACAGCGAAAGCGUUAAGUGAUCCACCUGGGGAGUACGCCGGCAACGGUGAAACUCAAAGGAAUUGACGGGGGCCCGCACAAGCGGAGGAACAUGUGGUUUAAUUCGAUGAUACGCGAGGAACCUUACCCGGGUUUGAACGCAUUCGGACCGAGGUGGAAACACCUUUUCUAGCAAUAGCCGUUUGCGAGGUGCUGCAUGGUUGUCGUCAGCUCGUGCCGUGAGGUGUCGGCUUAAGUGCCAUAACGAGCGCAACCCUUGCCACUAGUUACUAACAGGUAAAGCUGAGGACUCUGGUGGGACUGCCAGCGUAAGCUGCGAGGAAGGCGGGGAUGACGUCAAAUCAGCACGGCCCUUACAUCCGGGGCGACACACGUGUUACAAUGGCGUGGACAAAGGGAAGCCACCUGGCGACAGGGAGCGAAUCCCCAAACCACGUCUCAGUUCGGAUCGGAGUCUGCAACCCGACUCCGUGAAGCUGGAUUCGCUAGUAAUCGCGCAUCAGCCAUGGCGCGGUGAAUACGUUCCCGGGCCUUGUACACACCGCCCGUCAAGCCAUGGGAGCCGGGGGUACCUGAAGUCCGUAACCGCGAGGAUCGGCCUAGGGUAAAACUGGUGACUGGGGCUAAGUCGUAACAAGGUAGCCGUACCGGAAGGUGCGGCUGGAACACCUCCUUUCUGGAGC